AUUGAACGCUGGCGGCAGGCCUAACACAUGCAAGUCGAGCGGAUGAAGGGAGCUUGCUCCUGGAUUCAGCGGCGGACAGGUGAGUAAUGCCUAGGAAUCUGCCUGGUAGUGGGUGAUAACGUCCGGAAACGGGCGCUAAUACCGCAUACGUCCUGAGGGAGAAAGUGGGGGAUCUUCGGACCUUACGCUAUCAGAUGAGCCUAGGUCGGAUUAGCUAGUUGGUGGGGUAAAGGCCUACCAAGGCGACGAUCCGUAACUGGUCUGAGAGGAUGAUCAGUCACACUGGAAGUGAGACACGGGCCAGAAUCCUACGGGAGGGAGCAGUGGGGAAUAUUGGACAAUGGGGGAAAGCCUGGUCCAGCCAUGGCGCGUGUGUGAAGAAGGUCUUCGGAUUGUAAAGCACUUUAAGUUGGGAGGAAGGGCAGUAAGUUAAUACCUUGCUGUUUUGACGUUAACAACAGAAUAAGCACCGGCUAACUUCGUG
rnacentral:rRNA from 1 species